AUUGAACGCUGGCGGCAUGCCUUACACAUGCAAGUCGAACGGCAGCACGGGAGCAAUCCUGGUGGCGAGUGGCGAACGGGUGAGUAAUGUAUCGGAACGUGCCCAGUCGUGGGGGAUAACGCAGCGAAAGCUGUGCUAAUACCGCAUACGAUCCAUGGAUGAAAGCGGGGGACCGCAAGACCUCGCGCGAUUGGAGCGGUCGAUAUCAGAUUAGCUAGUUGGUGGGGUAAAAGCUUACCAAGGCGACGAUCUGUAGCUGGUCUGAGAGGACGACCAGCCACACUGGAACUGAGACACGGUCCAGACUCCUACGGGAGGCAGCAGUGGGGAAUUUUGGACAAUGGGCGCAAGCCUGAUCCAGCAAUGCCGCGUGCAGGAUGAAGGCCUUCGGGUUGUAAACUGCUUUUGUACGGAGCGAAAAGGCUCUCUCUAAUACAGGGGGCUCAUGACGGUACCGUAAGAAUAAGCACCGGCUAACUACGUGCCAGCAGCCGCCGUAAUAC
rnacentral:rRNA from 1 species